rnacentral:rRNA from 1 species
AUGGCGGAGGUGGAAGACGUCAGCAACAGGAUGGAAGCGCAGCUGCGCGUCCACGCGGCGGAGGACGACGCCGAUCUCCCGCUCCCCGCCCUCUUUGACAGAGCGUCCCACCUCCACUCGCUCGCCUCCAGCUCCUCCCUCGACCAGGAAGGGAUCCGGAAGGGGGUCGACCUGCUGCGGCGCUGCGACGACAUGGUCAGCAAGCUCGGCCUCUUCUCCUCCAACGAGACCAAGGAAGACGUCUCCACCGCCAAUCUCAAGUACCUGCUCGUGCCGUACUACCUUGGGGAAAUGACUGAGCAAGUGGAGCAGGAGGACCGGAUUCCGGUCCUCAAGGCAUCGCAGGACCAUUUGAAGGAGUUCAUUUCUGUAUGUGAAGCAUUGGAGCUUAUUCCAGAGGACGAGCUUCAAUUAUAUAGGCAGGGGCAGUCUGAAACAGGGGCAAACCGAAGAGCACAAAAGGUUGCCAGGUUCAAGCGGCAAAAGGCUGCAGAAACGAAGCUCCAAGAGAUCAAAGAGAGAAAGGAAAGGCGCGGGCGUUCAUUGAGAGCAACGGCUUUAUCAGCACCUAUUGAAGCCGGGGAAGAAGAUGAUUUGGAGGCCGAUGGAGAGGAAGAAAGGGAGGCUUGGCUUGCUACUAUCUCCUUGGCUCUCUGCAAGGCUUUUGAUCUCGUUGACAUGUUAAAGAAGGAAGAAGAGAUGCUUCUGGCUGUAAAAGAAAGAAAAGAAAAGGAUGGAAAUGCAUUUGCUCGAGAAAUGCUAGAUGAGCGCAGGCAAAAGGCUGAAGCAUGGCACCAGAAUGCUGCCAGCCGUGCACCAUAUUCCAAACCAGCUGCUCCAAUCACUUGUGCAACUUUUGCUCAAGACGUCAUUGAAGGCAGAGCAAGUGUUUCACAAGCUCAUGACCACAAACACCAACCCCUGAUAUUUGGACCUGCAAGUCUUGUUGGUGGGGGACUCACCAGUGAGAGGGAAAGAAUGGCAGCACAAGUUUUUCAGCCUAGUUUCAGGAUGCCGACAAUGAGCAUCGAACAAGCUGGCUUAGCGGAAAUGAAAAUGAUGGAGCAAUGGCAAGAAAGGACUGCCAAGAUGAUUCAAGAGGCAAGCUCCUCUUGGCACAAGGAUGACAAUAGUUUGGCGCAGGACGACGAGGACGCAGAAGAGGAGAAAGCAAGGGCAUUUGAUGACUGGAAGGAUGAAAACCCACGCGGUGCAGGCAACAAGAAGCUCACUCCCUGCGGCUAA